rnacentral:lncRNA from 1 species
UUCAUAUUAAGCACAUAAUAUAUUCCAUUUCCAUAUUAAGGAAGUAGGAUUUGAUAAUUGAAAUACAUCAGAGUACAACAUGAUAUAGCUUCAGCACUCAGCUACUGCAUUACACAACUGCACCAGCAACAAGUUUCACAUGCAACAUCUCGAACCUUUCGAAAUUAUCAUGAUAGACGGUACAUACAGAUAUGCAUCUCAUCUGGAAAACUGCUGAAGCGGAAGGCGAAUAUUCAGCCUUCAUUCAUGUUGAAGGUCUUUGCAACUUUAGGCCUGUGCUUGUGGAUGAUUGACCGUCCAUCCUUCGACCUCUUCAGGAACACUUCAGUAUUGAACCGUGGGUGUUGUUUGAAAACUUUCCUCGCCUCCUGACCACAGAGGUGGUUUGAGAGGUAAUCAUCAGUGACGCCUGAAAACAAGGAUGUGCAUAAAUAUCUUCUCUAGAUUGGAAAUUUGGCAAAGGAAUACAAAAAGGCAAGGUAUAAUAGUUAGUACCAUCUUGUAAACCUCAGUGCUUCCCAUUGUUUCCCUGCAACACAUAUAAGGUAGUUAGUCAUUAGGUUAAGUGAGGGUUCGCAUGCUAUUAGUAAAAUAUGUUGAUGUUAAAUAAGCACAUUGUUGAUUCAUCAAAUUAAUUCAAGCCACAUGGAAAACCCAUUUAUCCAAACCAAGCAUGAUUAAGAACUAGGAAAUAUAACACUUGUAUAUGUUUCUCAUGUAUUAAGUGCAGCCAAAUUCGAUUUAUUCCUCACAUGGUAUACAAUAACAAAAUGCAGCCACAUAAAUUGAACAUCGCAUUGCGGAAUUGAACCAAGCAGUUAACUAAACACCACAACAAAUGAACCAAACAUUAAAUGAGAACCACAUUGCACAAUAUAACAUACUCCUGAUGCACAAUGUAACAUACUCCUGAUAGAAGAUCAGACAGUUAACCAAACCAAGCAUGCUUAGCAACUUGGAAAUAUAGCAAUUGUAUUUGUUUCUCAUGUAUUUAGUACAGCCAAAUUCGAUUCAUUCCUCACAUGGUAUACAAUAACAGAAUGUAGCCACAACAAUUGAACAUCGCAUUGCAGAAUUGAACCAAGCAGUUAACUAAACUCCACAAUAAGUGAACCAAGCCACAACAAAUGAACCAAGCAGUUAACCAAACACCAAUGGAACAAUAUAACAUACUCCUAAUAGAAUACCAGAUAGUUAACCAAACCAAGCAUGCUUAACAACUUGGAAAUAUUGCACCCUGAAGAAUUGAACAUCACAUUUGCAGAAUUGAACCGGGCAGUUAAUUGAACACCACAUUGCACGACAUAUAGAACAUAUACACUAUAGCAGAAGAUUGCAUGGUAAAAGUAGAUAGCACAAUUCACUAGAAUUUGUUAAGGAAAGGAAGUAGCUAGCAAACUGAACAUGGGUCCUUAUAGUGAGCUAAUAAGACAAGCUACUCCUCAUUGUCGGAGAUAUCGAUGACGAUUGGCUCCUUGGACAUGGAAGAGGGCGAGGCCUCAACAUCGUCAGUGCCCUCAUUGUAGUGGUGAGUUGCCUGAGCCGCUCCGGGCACCAACCUGCUGGCUCUCGAGAUGAGGUAAGCACAUGCACGCUGAGAAAACACCUCGUAGACUUCGCCGAAGGCACCAAUGGUGGCCUCGAGAAAACGCCAUGAACUAUCGUUUAAAGCAGCCAAUCGCAUCACGGUGUCGACGCGCGAGGCGUCAAUGGUGGCCUCGACGGUGAGGUGCUCCUCCAAGAUCUGUGGGUCGGCAUGAAUGGCAGCCAUCGUGACCUAAUCCUCGCGUGUGGCCACAAUUUUCUUCUCCGCUGCCAAAUGCUCCUUGAGGUCAUGGCUAUACUACGUGCACCAUGGCUUAGGCUGGCGCUUAUUUGUUGGAUGGGUCGGUGAUUUGGGUGGAAGGUGUCGCACUCGCGCCAGCGGUCGGGGCAUGUGGGAUGUGGAAGGAGGAGGAGGAUGGGGGUCGGGUGUGGAUUACCUACCUGGAUAGGCGAGGCCGAGCAGCGUGAAGGAGGAUCGUCGGCGAGGAGGUGGCGGCACUUCAAGCAAGGAGUGAAGGUUUCAACUUGGAAAGGAAGGCGGAAAGAGGGGAAAUGUGGCUUUUGCUAAGGGGGAGGGGCGGGGAGGUAGAUAUUUCUGCGAAAGCCGAAAAUUUGGAAUCGCUUUAGACAAAAACUGGCGCGCAAAGUGUCAUCAGACACGGUCCCUUAUUCAGACAAGGUCCAAAGAUAUUUUCUGUUGCAUCUCACACGGUUGGUUAUAAUAAACUGUGUGGGAUCUACUUGAUUUUAUGUCUUGAUUUGAAUUACAUAAUGGGGUCACAGCUCCCAUGGACGGUGUUUGAAUUGCUAGACCUUUUAUCAACAAUGAUCAUAAAAGAAUUGGAAUUAUUCAGGGUUCGUUUGGACAUUUUUAUGCAUUAAGUGAUUUUUCAAUGCAUUUAUGUGCAUAAUUCAAAUUUGAACUAUAUGCACAGGCUCCAGUGCAUAUAAAUUCAUUGAAAAAUCAAAUCUUUGUCCUUGGGUGUAUGCUUAGGUCCCAUGCAAGAAAUGGGAAUGAAUUUCAAACACCAUGGCACCGUUGAUUGCCGGCAAAACAUUGAGAUGCCUGGUUUUAAAAUUCUAGUAAAUCCAAAACUCGUCUGAAAUUCAUGAAACUUGGCAUGCUAUCAUGGAGCGGCAUCAACAUGACAUGGUACAAAUUUUGUCCCAUUUGGGGCUGUUUUGGGUAUAUGCUUCUCAGAAACCGGAGCUUCUCACAACAAGCAUGAUGGUUUUCGGUAGGGAACGUCCCACCUUUGGGGAUAAAAUGAUAUCCAUUGCCGCUUAUUGUUUUCAAGUUUUUUUUCUCAUGUCAACAUAGAACAACAGGAGUGUUGUGUGAAUUUUUGUGAUUUUUCGGGGUUCGUGUGGACAUUUUUAUGCAUUAACUGAGUUUUCAAUGCAUUUAUGUGCUUAAUUCAAAUUUGAACUACAUGCGCAUGCUCCAGUGCAUAUAAAUUGGUUGAAAAAUCAAAUAUGUGUCCUUGGGUGCAUGCUUAGGUCCCAUGCAAGAAAUGGGAAUGAAUUACAAACACCGGGGCACCGUUGAUUGCCGGCAAAACAUUGAGAUGCCUAGUUUUUAAAUUCUAGUAAAUUCAAAACUCAUUUGAAAUUCAUGAAACUUGGCAUGCUAUCAUGGAGCGACAUCAACAUGCCGUGUACAAAUUUUGUUCCAUUUGGGGCAGGUUUGGGUAUAUGCUUCUCACAAUCCGGGGCUUAUCACAACAGGCAUGAUGGUUUUCGGUAGGGAACAUCCCACCUUUGGGUACGAAACGAUAUCCAUUGCCUCUUAUUGCUUUCCAAAAAAAAUUCUCGUGUCAACAUAGAACAACAGGUUGUGUGAAUUUUUGUGAUUUUCGGGGUUCGUUUGGACAUUUUUAUGCAUUAACUGAGUUUUCAAUGCAUUUUAUGUGCAUAAUUCAAAUUGGAACUACAUGCACAUGCUCCAUUGCAUAUAAAUUGGUUGAACAAUCAAAUUUGUGUCCUUGGGUGCAUGCUUAGGUCCCAUUCAAGAAAUGGGAAUCAAUUUCAAACACCGGGACACCGUUGAUUGCCGGCAAAUCAUUGAGAUGCCUGGUUUUAAAAUUCUAGUAAAUCCAAAACUCGUGUGAAAUUCAUGAAACUUGGCAUGCUAUCAUGGAGCAGCAUCAACAUGUCGUGGUACAAAUUUUGUCCCAUUUGGGGCAGGUUUGGGUAUAUGCUUCUCACAAAUCGAAGCUUCUCACAACAACCAUGAUGGUUUUCAGUAGGGAACGUCCCACCUUUGGGGACGAAACGAUAUCCAUUGCCUCUUAUUGCCUUCAAUUUUUUUUUCUCAUGUCAACAUAGAACUACAGGAGUGUUGUGUAAAUAUUUGUGAUUUUUCGGGGUUCGUUUGGACAUUUUUAUGCAUUAACUGAGUUUUCAAUGCAUUUUAUGUGCAUAAUUCAAAUUUGAACUACAUGCACAUGCUCCAAUGCAUAUAAAUUGGUUGAAAAUCAAAUAUGUGUCCUUGGGUGCAUGCUUAGGUCCCAUGCGAGAAAUGGGAAUAAAGUUCAAACACCGGGGCACUGUUGAUUGCCGGCAAAACAUUGAGAUGCCUAGUUUUCAAAUUCGAGUUAAUCCAAAACUCGUCAGUGUGCAGGUUCACCGGGAAGCGUGCGAGAUGUUCAACGCAAGAUUUGUGCAUCUCUUCAACGCAAACGGUUUAGUGAAGCAGUAAAGCGGCAGAAAAUAAACCAAAAUAUAUAUGUGCUGCCACACAUCCCGUGUGCCGUGUGAGGAGCAUCAGUUGACGGGACGCAUAAGAGUAGUCCGCCGGCAGGCAUACCGGGAAGCGUGCAUGCAGGUGUGUGUAUUGACGAGGAGGCGUUCGAGUAGCUGUGUGAAAUGGUGGUAGGAAUGGCAGACGUCCGCCGCGCAGGCUCACCAGGAGGCGAGGCAACUUUUGACUGCAACCUGCCUUGCUCCCACUGGUCCAUAUUAAUUGCGCACCCAAGCCGCCAGCCAUAAUAGGCGGCCGCACCCCCUGUCCAUAGUGGUCACCUACGUCUGGACUCCGGAGUGUAUGAAGAUGUCGCCGAAGCGCACCAUCGGAGCGAGUGGCGACGCCGGGGCUGGUGAAGCACCCGCACAACGCGUCAAGCUGGCCAUAGAGGUUUCCGUCGCCACCGACGAGGUCUCGCGUGGGCAGCAGCACGACCUUGAAUUCGUUGGCGUCGUCAUGACCCCCCCAGCCGGAGCCGGAGGUCAACAGCAACUUCGGCAACAACUGCGACUCCGGCGGAAAAACCGGCCAGUCACCUACAUAUAUGUUUGUGCCUUUUUUCUUCCUGAUCUUGAGAAUUGAUUUCGAAUUUCCUACAUGUUAUGCCACUUUUUACUUUUAGAUUGGUAUGUACACAGAUGAGGCUCCGUCUAGCGCCACCGCCAUAUGUUGAUCUUGGACCUGGCUGUGCGUCCAGAAGCGCCCCCUGGACCUGAGUGUUGGAAAUAUGCCCUAGAGGCAAUAAUAAAAGUAUUAUUAUAUUUCAAUGUUCAUGAUAAAUAUCUUUUGUUCAUGCUAUAACUGUAUUAUCCGGAAAUCGUAAUACACGUGUGAAUACUUAGACCACAAUAUGUCCCUGGUGAGCCUCUAGUUGACUAGCUCGUUGUGAUCAACAGAUAGUCAUGGUUUCCUGACUAUGGACAUUGGAUGUCGUUGAUAACGGGAUCACAUCAUUAGGAGAAUGAUGUGAUGGACAAGACCCAAUCCUAAGCAUAGCAUAAAAGAUCGUGUAGUUCGUUUUGCUAGAGCUUUGCCAGUGUCAAGUAUCUCUUCCUUCGACCAUGAGAUCGUGUAACUCCCGGAUACCGUAAGAGUGCCUUGGGUGUAUCAAACGUCACAACGUAACUGGGUGACUAUAAAGGUGCAUUACAGGUAUCUCCGAAAGUAUCUGUUGGGUUGACACGGAUCGAGACUGGGAUUUGUCACUCCGUAUGACGGAGAGGUAUCUCUGGGCCCACUCGGUAAUGCAUCAUCAUAAUGAGCUCAAUGUGACCAAGGUGUUGGACACGGGAUCAUGCAUUACGGUACGAGUAAAGUGACUUGCCGGUAACGAGACUGAACAAGGUAUUAGGAUACCGACGAUCAAGUCUCGGGCAAGUAACGUACCGAUUGACAAAGGGAAUUGUAUAUAGGGUUUGAUCGAAUCCUCGACAUCGUGGUUCAUCCGAUGACAACAUCGAGGAGCAUGUGGGAGCCAUCAUGGGUAUCCAGAUCCCGCUGUUAGUUAUUGACCUGAGAGCGUCUCGGUCAUGUCUGCAUGUCUCCCGAACCCGUAGGGUCUACACACUUAAGGUUCGGUGACGCUAGGGUUAUUAAGAAGACUAGUAUGUGACUACCGAAUGUUGUUCGGAGUCCCGGAUGGGAUCCCGGACGUCACGAGGAGCUCCGGAAGGGUCCGGAGGUAAAGAUUUAUAUAUGAGAAGUUGUCAAACGGGCACCGGGAAGUUUCGGGGUCAUACCGGUAUUGUACCGGGGCCACCGGAAGGGUUCCGGGGGUCCACCGGGAGGGGCCACCCCUCCCGGGGGACCACAUGGGCUGCGUGGGGCAGGGAGCCAGCCCCUGGUGGGCUGGGCGCACCCCCUCCCUUGGGCCCUUGCGCCUAGGGUUGAGGGGGGAACCCUAGAGGGGGCGCCCCCUUGGCUUGGGGGGCAAGCCACCCUCUCCCCCUCUCCCCUUGGCCGCCGCCCCCCCCUCUAGAUGGGUUCUAGAGGGGCCGGCCCCCUUCUCCCUUCUCCCUAUAAAUAGAGGGGUGAGGGGAUGGCAGCCGCACCACCCUCCAAGGCGCAGCCCUCCCCUCCCCAACACCUCUCCUCCUCCGUUGUGUGCUUGGCGAAGCCCUGUCGGAGUACUGCUUCUCCACCAUCACCACGCCGUCGUGCUGCCGGUGGAGCUGUCUUCCUCAACCUCUCCUUCCCCCUUGCUGGAUCAAGAAGGAGGAGAUGUCUCCCGUCCCGUACGUGUGUUGAACGCGGAGGUGCUGUCCGUUCAGCACUUGGUCAUCGGUGAUUCGAAUCACGUCGAGUACGACUCCAUCAUCACCUUGCAAGCUUCCGCACGCGAUCUACAAGUGGUAUGUAGAUGCAAACUCAUUCCCUCGACUCGUUGCUUAGAUGAACUCAUAGAUGGAUCUUGGUGAAACCGUAGGAAAAUUUUUAAUUUUCUGCAACGUUCCCCAACACUGAGGAACCAGUAGAAUCUCCCGCGGAUGACAUCCUUGGUGGGAUCAUCUCCCUUCUCCCCACCAAGGAUGGCUACCGCACACAAGUCCUCACAUCUCGGUGGCGCACUCUGUGGCACACCACGCCUCUUAAUCUUGACUGUCGUCAGCUAUCUGUCGAUGAUGAUUCUGAACUCCUCGGAGCCAUCAUCUCCUCCCACGGGGGCUCCGUUCAACGCAUCUGCUUCCCGGCAUGCUACCUGCUGGACAUACCCUACACGGUUGCCGCGUGGCUGACAUCCCGUCAAUUUGAUAAACUCCAGGAGCUUGAGUUCUACCAUUACUACAGCGAUAGGUUACCACCAAUAGCUGCAUCUGUGCCCUCACCACCGAUGCCCAUGUCAUGGUUUUCCUCCUCUCACUGCACCGCCACCUUGACCCAGUGCCAUCUAGUAGACAAUCUGGUACAAGUGCUUCGACUUCCACUUCUGAAAAAACUUGCGCUUGUGUUGGUUCAUCUGUCAGGGGCCUCACCACACAACAUCAUCCACUCCAGCUGCCCUGCACUGGAGCGUUUGGUGCUUGUUUUUGGAGCAGGAAUCGAUAUUCGUUGUCUCAAAAUUAAGUCGCCUCACCUUGUAAGCAUUAGAAUUAGUUUUGAGGACAGGAGCUCAUCAUUGAAGAUGCCCCUUCACUUCAAAGGUUGGUCCUUGAUUGUUGUUAUAAACCUAAGCAAAUAAAUGUGGUCUCUGCGCCUAAACUGGAGACCUUGGGUGCAAUUUGUGAUCCGUUUAAAUGGUUUGAGAUGGUGUUUGCCUCCACACCUACUAAGGUAUUGUAUAUUAUUCACGUACACUUUUUUAAUUUGCAUUUUUCAUUUGUGCGCAUAAGUUAAGUAUCUUCUUGGAGUACACUUUCCAUGCUAAUAUUAUGGUCUAUGCUCAAUGAAGUGCUUGUCCAUCCUAUCAGUGUUGGUGGAUUCUGUCAAGACCCUAUAUAUUAGUAUGUGGUGUUUUGAUCUCAACAUCAUUAUUGCCUUGCUGCAAUGCUUUCCAUGUUUGGAUAAUUUGUAUAUAAAGGUGAUGAUUUCACGCAUAUUGAAAGCCCAUAUAUAAUGUACUAUAAUUAAUCAUUCAACUAUCACUCUUUCGACAUAAUCUUUUUUAGACAUUAACUAUUUUAAUCUUCAUCUCUAUUUAGGCAAAAACACAUGGAGAAAAAGGUAUAACCAAUCGAUGAUUGAUGAAGCACGGGGAUUUUCUCAGAUCUCAUGACAUUCAUUUGAAGACAGUAACGCUAGAAUGAUAUCAUCCAAUAGUGCAAACACUAGUUUUGUUAGAUUCUUCAUGUUGAAUGUGAGGGCACUAUUGUCCGUGAGGAUUAAAUUUUCAACAAGAAAUUACUCACAGCUGCAAGUGUUGAAGAGCAUAAAAAGAAGUUUCAGGUGGACCUAAGGGCUUCUGAUCGUGUUCGGCUUCUAUUUACAACAGCUUGUGAUCAUCAUGGAGCAGUAGAAUUAUUGUAUUGGGAUCUUGAUUUUAUGGAUUAGACUGGUCCAUUUGAUUGUAACUGUCGAAAACUUUGGUUGAGUUAGAUUUCUUUGUCCUAUUCAACAUGGGUUAUGUGUAAACCUGAUGAACAAUUAAUCCUUGUGCUUUUGUAUCCUUUGUAAGCUGGAGUUAGACAUUGUUGCCCUUUUCAACUAGGGUUUGACCCACAUUUUCUUUCAUACUGGGCCAAUGGCUUGCCAUUUCUUUAAUUAUGACAUAAAUAUUAUAAGCAUUCACAACAUAGGGAAAGAUCCUCACUCUCGCAGGAUCCUUGAGAUCUUUGUUCAUUACAGAACCGCAAGUUCUUGGCGCCCACCAGCACCCACAAACUUAUUUUCAGCUAGCACACCAAAUGGUCUGUAAUUCUUAAUAAGAAAAGUUGCAUGGUAGUGACAAAUUUGAAUUUUUCAUUUGGGACCCACGAGGAAAAAGCCUAUCCAGGACGGUGCCGACUCGACAUUAAACAUUGAGAAACCUGGUUUUAAUAUUACUGUAAAUCCAAAACUCGCCUCAAAAUAAUGAAACUUGGCAUGGUAUUAUGACAUAGCACCAUCAUGUUGUGGUAAAAAAUUAGUCCAAAUUGGGACAAGUUUUGGUACAAACUUCUUACAAACUGGAGCUUCUCUCAAAAAGGCUCAUGGUUCGGAGAGGGGCCUUGUCACCUAUGUGUGUGAAACGACAUACGCUGUCUCUUACUGCCUUGAUUUAUUUUACAGAGGCAACAUGCAACUAUAGUAGCGUCGUCCUAAAAAUAUGAAAUUACUCAUAGUUUGUUUUGCCUUUUAAUACAUUAUUUGAGUUUCCUAGGCAUUUUGGAACGUACUUUAGUGUGUGCAAUGGUCAUGUGUGUACUAGCCACAUAUGUAAUUGGAUGUUCAAUCUUUUUAUGGAAUCAAGUCCUUAUAAGUUAUAAGUACAUGUGUUGUUGUUCUGUGUGCAAUGACAUUGCACAUAGAGCAUACUGGGAAACCCGUCGGUGAUGAUUUCAUCAAUCGUUCAUAAUUGUAUACCACCAAGCGUUUGCCCACAACACACAUGACUUAUUAGCAGCAAUCAUGUGUGUUAUUAUCAGUCUUCACACACAUUUCUGAUUAUAGACAUUUUUGCCGCGUAUGACACACAUCUUGUUAUAUUGAACCGUUUCUGUUCUCUUGGCUCAAAGCAAACAGUUUAUCCGAUUGAACCGCAUGACAUAUAUUGCACACACCUUGAUCUGGCUGACCGUUUCUUUUGUGUUGCCUAAUCACAAACAGUUCAUCCGAGUGAACCGUAUGUUGUAUAUCACACACACCUUCAUCUGGCUUCCCGUUUCUUUUGUUCCUCAUCAUCGCAAACAGUUAAUUGAACUGAACUGUAUGCCCUGCAUCGCACACGCAACCAAAAUCUGAACCGUGUUUGAUGCAUCCUCCAUCACAAACUUUUUGCACCUUUUUGACGGGUUUUUUACACCACCGUUUGUGAUUAUUGCAUCGCACAUAGUUUCGACGAAGGGUCUCUAAUCAUAGUGUCGCAUUAGGAGUAUCCUGUAGUAGUGUCACUUCCUUCGGGGAAAAUUGGGGCUCAGAUCAAAAAAUAAACAAGGUUCAAAUUGCAAGUUCAAGACAAGAAAAAUAAAAGUCCCAGCAAAGUGUGGAAUAAUGAGAGGAUUACCUGUCAGUACUUGUUGUGUGUGGGGGGGGGGGCACUCCCUCCCAAGGAAGCUUGUGUUGUCGGUGCACUACCUUCAACUAAUCUCACGGGCGAGGUGGUACCGGCGCAAAUAGGAUCGUCGAUGGAGGCCCUUGUCGGGGUGGCACUCUCUGGGGCGAUGGUUGACGGGGACCGCAUGACAGGAUCCGUCUCUUGGUGCUCCUCUUGUUGGUGGGCCUCUCCCAACUCAUUGUCAGAUUCAAGAGAAGGGACCUCGGUGCUAGCACCAGAUGGAGGGACAGGCGGUGCGACCCCAUGCACGGGGCUGGUGACCGUGGCAUCGGCCACUGGUGAAACUUACCUGGCACCUGUCGGGGAGCUUCGCCCCUCCAAUGUCUUAGCGUGUUUCACCCGCUGCACUAGUGGUUUUGCAUCCUUGUAAGACAAGAAAAGUCAGAACAGGAUAACAGUUGAGCAAGUCAAAGCUUGAUUAAUAAAAAAAGAUAAAGAUUUGAUUACUAUUCAACAGAUUCAAGAAGGUCGUUCAUGUUAUAUUGAGGAGGUGGGGGAGUCUCCCUGGCCCUCUUGAUGGCUGGCAGUGGCGAGCUUGGCGAACGGGAAGCCUCACCCUCCCCAGUAAGCUCUUGCUGAGAGGAUGGGGGCUUGAGCUUGACAUGUGUACUGGUUGCCGGCGUACUGCCUCCUGACACCCCGUCUUGGUGGUUGAUUUCCUCACCGCGGGAUCAGAUCAGGGCGGGGGAGUGCCCGCAGACUCUUGUAUACCCCUGCUUCGAAGGUGGCACGGCAGCUCGAAGACUUGGGGUUCCUCCCCUUCGGGCUUCCUGGUAAUCUCUGCCCUAGCAACUUUGCCUACGCCAAGCUCCUCCUGCCUCUCCUCGGCAAGCUCUUCCUCAUCAGCAUCAUCUUCUUCUUCGUCGUCAUCAUCAUCCUCGGUGCCCUCAGGAGCGCCUGCAGCCCUUGCAGCUUCUAGCCUCCGGGCCUCUGCGACCCUACUAGCAAUGUAUGCCUCCUCCUCCACCGUGGUGGCUUUGACGAGAUUGCUCUCUUCUCGCUCAGCCACCUCCGUCAAUUCAGAGGCCCAUUUCAUCUCAUAUGCCAGCUUGGGCAAUUUCCAGCUUCCCUUGACCCCCUUGGUGGAGCACUCUAGCAUCCAUGCCAAGAUGGCGCUCCUCUCUGAGUUGAGGUGCAGUGGCACAACUGUGUUGGGCAGGUGGAACGUGAGCACAAAACACAAGCUCCCACACAGUGAGCUCAUGCGCGCGCGCACACACACACUAAACACCAGACCCAGCACGCACACCCCAGGACAUGAUGCUCUUUUAUUUGUUUUUGGGUCCUCCUUGAACUUCUGAAUGUCGUUUUGCAAGCUUGAGGCCAUCAGGUUUCAGUGCCCGGACAUUUAGUUAUCUGAGCUCUCAAGAAUACUACUCCGGUUAUAACGGAACUUCUCUCAUUCAUCCGUGCAUUAUUUUGCAGAACAUUUUUUGCGCCGGCUAGGGACUACGGCGUGCGGCCCUAGCAGCAGUAGGCCAUGGUGGUGCAUGCUGGCAUGACACGUCGCAGCGGCGUGUGUUGACGGCCAGGUGACCAGACCAGGUGCGGUUGCGGUUCGGUGGAUGGACAGGUCCCUGCAUGGUUCCUUGCCAGUAACAAAACAGCCUGCAUGACCGCUUGCCACCAGAGAAAACUUCUUCUUACUAAUGUCAAAUUAAUUGAUAUGCAAAACAAAACAUUGCCAAAAUAGCAUAGCUACAGAGGUGAUAAAAUCACUUCAGAAAAUAUCACAAUUGUACCAUAAAGCUGCGUCAAGUGUAUUUUCUUAAAAGCUUGAGCUAUUGGAACUCGUGGAUGAGGUUGUGGUGUCUUCUCUGAAGCAAAGCAAAAAAUAGCCUGAAACUAGCACACAUACAAGCAACUUGAUUGAUGAACAGUAUCACAUGCGUGUACUGCUAGCAAGCCAAGAAAUCGAUUAAGCUACUUGGCUGCUUGUUUAAGGCUGGCCUUUGCACAAACUCGUUGCUCCAUGGUGGUUUGAGCAAGUGUUCCAAAAUCAACACUCGCGUAGGCGGAGCCCGUGGAGCCAACUUUCCGGAGCUAAAGUAGUCGGAGCAGUCCGUGUUGGCGACUGGGUGCAGUCCGUGCCGGCGGCCGGGUGCACAGCGGUGAGCAGGAGGGAGGUUGGGCACAUCUUUAGGGCGGAGGAGGUGAUGCUGGGGCGGCGAGCUGGGGAGUUUUGGCGGAGAUCCUCGGAUGGCUGGAGUUUGGGCGCUGAAGCGGUGAACAUCCGAGAGCUCUAUGGUGGAACGGCCUGAGCUGGUCGUGGUGAACGGCCUGAGCGCCACGGUGAUGGGUGUGUCCCCACAAGGGAGGAGGCUCCGUGAGGAGGUGGGGUAGCGAGGUUGCUCACCUUUAGUCGGGGACCCCGGUGGCGGCCGGCGGGAUCAGAGGUAGGAGACGGUGCCUGGGAUGCACGGCUUGCUCGUCUUCACUCGGGGACCCCUGCGGCGGAGGUCGCGAUCCAAAGACAGGAGGCGUCGCCCGGGAUCCACGGCCGACGGCGGCGCACAGGACCAAGGUGGAUCGGGGCAGAGGUGGUGUUCCAUGGCGGCGGUUAGAAGAAGGUGGGGCGAUUGUGGGAGCCUAGUGUGGCGGCGGGAGGAAGGUGGUGGGUUGUGGCGAGGAAGGAUGUUGUGGCCCCGCGGGGUGGGCGGUGGGCGGCGGGGUUGGCCGGGGGGCUUGGGUGGGUUGUGGGGAAGGUGGGCGACGGGGAUAAGGUAUGGUUUGUUUUUC